AUUGAACGCUGGCGGCGUGCCUAACACAUGCAAGUCGAGCGGUAACAGGUGUAGCAAUACAUGCUGACGAGCGGCGGACGGGUGAGUAACGCUUGGGAAUCUGCCUAUUAGUGGGGGACAACCCGGAGAAACUCGGGCUAAUACCGCAUACGCUCUACGGAGGAAAGCCGGGGACCGCAAGGCCUGGCGCUAAUAGAUGAGCCCAAGUCGGAUUAGCUAGUUGGUAGGGUAANGGCCUACCAAGGCGACGAUCCGUAACUGGUCUGAGAGGACGACCAGUCACACCGGAACUGAGACACGGUCCGGACUCCUACGGGAGGCAGCAGUGGGGAAUAUUGGACAAUGGGCGAAAGCCUGAUCCAGCGACGCCGCGUGGGUGAAGAAGGCCUGCGGGUUGUAAAGCCCUUUCAGCUCCGACGAAGCGAGAGUGACGGUAGGAGCAGAAGAAGCACCGGCCAACUACGUGCCAGCAGCCGCAGU
rnacentral:rRNA from 1 species